UGCAGUCGAGCGUGCGUAGCAGUACGUCAGCGGCAGACGGGUGAGUAACGCGUGGGAACGUACCUUUUGGUUCGGAACAACACAGGGAAACUUGUGCUAAUACCGGAUAAGCCCUUACGGGGAAAGAUUUAUCGCCGAAAGAUCGGCCCGCGUCUGAUUAGCUUGUUGGUGAGGUAACGGCUCACCAAGGCGACGAUCAGUAGCUGGUCUGAGAGGAUGAUCAGCCACAUUGGGACUGAGACACGGCCCAAACUCCUACGGGAGGCAGCAGUGGGGAAUAUUGGACAAUGGGCGCAAGCCUGAUCCAGCCAUGCCGCGUGAGUGAUGAAGGCCCUAGGGUUGUAAAGCUCUUUUGUGCGGGAAGAUAAUGACGGUACCGCAAGAAUAAGCCCCGGCUAACUUCGUGCCAGCAGCCGCGGUAAUACGAAGGGGGCUAGCGUUGCUCGGAAUCACUGGGCGUAAAGGGUGCGUAGGCGGGUCUUUAAGUCAGAGGUGAAAGCCUGGAGCUCAACUCCAGAACUGCCUUUGAUACUGAGGAUCUUGAGUUCGGGAGAGGUGAGUGGAACUGCGAGUGUAGAGGUGAAAUUCGUAGAUAUUCGCAAGAACACCAGUGGCGAAGGCGGCUCACUGGCCCGAUACUGACGCUGAGG
rnacentral:rRNA from 1 species